GUCGUCCUUCCUGUCUAGGUCGUACGACCUCGUGAGCGAGCCGACGCUAGACAGGAUCCUUGUCGGCCUUCUUCCAGCCAGCACCACCGCCCCCCGUCCGGCCAGCGCCGCAACCUCGUCCCCUCCUCCGGCCAGGGCCGCCACCGCCUCUUCUCCCAUGUCCGAUGGCCGCCUCCACCCUGGCUUUGCCGCUGCAACCCUUCCUCUUCCCUCCGCGGGUACAGCCGCCUCGCUGACCGCGGGUGUCGUCGCCUUCCCUCCCCUCAGCGCGGGCACGGGCCUCCACUCCGCCGCCCUGCUUGUAGGCGUCGGCCCUUGCCCCACCCUCAUGUCCGACGCGGCCUCCUUCCUUGCGCCCGCCAGCACCUCGGUCUCCUUCGACGAUGUGGCUGCACCUCCCCUCUUUCUUGCGCCGGUGUCUGGCCUGACAGAGCCGCCACCCUCUCCUGCGUCAACCGUGCGCUGUCUUGGCCCCGUGAGCACAAACG
rnacentral:misc_RNA from 1 species